rnacentral:rRNA from 1 species
CCCUUAGAUGUUCUGGGCCGCACGCGCGCUACACUGAUGCAUUCAACGAGCCUAGCCUUGACCGAGAGGUCCGGGUAAUCUUUGAAACUGCAUCGUGAUGGGGCUAGAUUAUUGCAAUUAUUAAUCUUCAACGAGGAAUGCCUAGUAAGCGUGAUUCAUCAAAUCGCGUUGAUUACGUCCCUGCCCUUUGUACACACCGCCCGUCGCUCCUACCGAUUGAAUGAUCCGAUGAAUAUCAUGGAUUGAGGAUGCAAGUAGGUUCGCCUAUCUUCAUCUUCGAGAAGUGAAGUAAAUCUUAUCAUUUAGAGGAAGGAGAAGUCGUAACA